GAACGCUGGGACAGUGCCUUUGAGACACCCAGGAGGAUGUCAGGUGGGUAGCUGCAAAUAGAGCCUGGUGCUCGGCACAGAGGGGCAGACUGUGACACGUGUUUCUCUGCCUUAUGCAUCCAAGGAAACACUGGGACCCGAGGGGGCUGCCUGGAAAGAAAGCAAGGAGAAGAGAAGAAUGUGAGUGUGAAAGCAAGUGUUGCAAAUGAAACAUCGGAUCCAAUCCAGCAGCAUGUUAAAAGAAAAAUGCACCAUGACCGCUGAGCCUUACUCCAGGUGUGUAAGGAUGGCUCAGCAUCGAGAAAGAGACCCUUGUGAUUAAUUCCAUUGACAAAUUAAAAUAGAAAACGUGAAAUCCUAUCAUGUGCAAAAGCAUUUGAGAAAAUGCAGUGGCCAUUCCUACUUUAAGUAAAAGAGGAAAAGAAUAAUUCUUUAAUAUGAUGAUGCUACCAAACCUCCCAGCCAUUCCCACUGAAAUCAGGAAUGAGAUGAGCCCACUGUCGUCCCCGUUUCCAACAUUGUUUGGAAGGCUCUCGUUCAUCCUAUAAAAUAAGAAAACAAAGUGGUACCCAAAGAAAAACAGAAGAGCCAAAAUUAUUUUUAUUUGCAGACAAUGUUUGUUUACUUAGAAAAACAAGAGACUCUAAAAUCCCUUAGUAAAUUUGAGGUUGCUAGAUACAAGAUAACUGGACAAAAAGAACCAAUUUUCUUUCUACUAGUAGUAACCAAUUACAAAUGGAAAUGAGAGAUUAUGUUCACAAUGAUGAUAAAAUUAUAAGUAAAUUUAUAGGAUAUUUAUAGGAACAACUUUAUAGAAAAAGUGCAGGACCUCUAGAGUCAAAACUAUAAGUUUUUUUUUUAUGAACUUAAUUCAAGAUUGGAAUAAACAGAGAGAUCUACAUGUCCCUGAUUGGGAAGACUUCAUGUCAUGCAAAUGCUCAUUAUUCUGAAAUUAUCUAUACAUUUAUUACCAUUCCUAUAAGUAUUGCUUUAAUUUUUUUUUGCUUUUUUGUUUGAUUUUGGUUUGGGAGGUGGUGAUGAGAACCAAUAGUUUUUGAAGUCCCUGUGGAAGAGCAAAUAUGUGAGAAUUGCUAACACAAUUUUGAAAAGGGGAAACUGGUGCGUAUGUCCUUUAUCUACAGAUAUGAACCCUGACUAUAUGCACUGAGAUCAACGUAACGUACUGGCAAAGGAAACAGACAAAGAGAUUAGCAGAAUGGAGGUUAGUGGAAUGGAUCCAAGAGUCUGUAGGAGCCCAAUUCAUCACGCGUGUGGCAGGUGAGGGGGAAAGCAGAGGUAUGUAAUCAAUGGAGCAUUCAUAACAGCUUUCUGGAAACAGAGUUCAGCUCACUGCAUUCCACAUAUCCGAGAUCACACUCCAGAUGGGGCAGAAGUAAACAAACAUGCAACAGGACAGCAGAGAAAUGUAAAGAUUGUCUUUAAAGACCCGUAAGUGUUAAGGAAAAUGUUGCUGACUAAAUAAAAUACCUGGCAAAAGAUAAAAGCAUCAAAAAGUAUGUUAAAAAAAAAAAAACCAAAAACAUUUAAACCAAAGUAUCAAGAAAGAAGUGGUAGGGAGGAAAUAUUAGUGGCAGCCCUUUCUCAGAAGAAAGGUGGAUGGCCUAGCCUACUAUCCAAAGAGCUCUCACUCUCCCAUUCAAUAACCCUAAGAGACCUCUCUUACGGAAUCCCUCUCCACAUGGAAUUCCAGCUGCGCGUCCUGGAGACAACAGCCUCUUGUGCCUCUCCAGGAGCAGUGGGCCCCCGGCGCUGGCUGGCCCUCCUUGUCCAGGCUGCCAAGAAUUCAGAAGUCUUUCUAGACUCCCUGUCACAUGUCAAGUGCUCUCUUCUGUUCCCCAGAGACCUUUUCAAACAUCCUUAGAAUAGUGGUCAUUAAACACCAAGUUAUGGUAUAUUGUGGAGGAAUUUUGUGUCUUUAAAUUAUUGAAAAGCACUGAGGUUCCACAGUCUGCCUGAGUGACAGCCACUUCUCCUCACUUCCCUGGAGAGAGCGUCCUUCCCGGGAAGCCCAGGGCGGCCCGCUUGUGGUGUUCGCGUCGGUGGACUCAGUGAAAUAAGCGGAGUUGUCAGCAGGGUCGACGCAGGCCUCCUGUGUGUCGCUGCAGUGGACAAAGGGGAGCAACGGUCUGCCCCCGAGUUAAACGGGGUGUGUCUGCGGAGCGUCUCAGGAGAUUUUCUCUAUUUUCGUUUGGAGGCAGACCCAGGACGGGCUGGCGGGCCGGCCUGAAACUCCAGGGCUGGUGGGGCCUGUGUCUUGCUAACAACUGGGGGUUUUCCCAGCCUGCAUUCCGGGAGUGAAGUCCCGACUCUGUGAGGUUCGGGCAGGCUCUGAACAAACCCCGAAAGAGCUCUGAUCUCUGGUCUUGUGGCAGGGACAUGCUUGUUCUUUACACAUGCGUCUGUCUUAGUGGGUCUUUGGGACACGUCCCCAUGACUUUAGUGCGUGUGACGUGGGGAGAAGGAUUUCCAUGGCAAAUGAGCUCGGAGAAAACUGGGGGAGAAAGCUGUAGGCCCGAUUCCUCGCUGCUGUUGCCUCAGGGGCUUCAGUGUGGGUGUGCUGGUGUGUCCCCCAGGGAGGGGACGUCCUCCCUCUGCUCACUGUGCAUCUCAGAGUGCGUGUGCCCAGGACAUGUGUGGAGAGAGGCUGCUUCCUGUCAGUUAUAUCAUCAUUUAAUUUACAGGGUGUCCCCAGGUGCAGGUCUUACAGGGCCGGUCUAUAGAUGUGGAAGUGAAAUUCAGAGCACUUAAGUGGCUUGUCCAGGGUCAUAAGGGGACCAGUCUAGAGAAGGAAAUUCUGACCUUUUUUGUGCAUUCGGUCACAUGUUUCUGUAGUUUUGAAUACAAGCAAGGUUUCCACUGAUUAA